CUCGUAGGCGGUUUGCUAAGUCGGUUGUGAAAGCCCACGGCUUAACCGUGGAAUUGCGAUCGAUACUGGCGGACUUGAGUGCGGGAGAGGAGAGCGGAAUUCCCAGUGUAGCGGUGAAAUGCGUAGAUAUUGGGAGGAACACCGGUGGCGAAGGCGGCUCUCUGGACCGCAACUGACGCUGAGGAGCGAAAGCGUGGGUAGCAAACA
rnacentral:rRNA from 1 species